CGGACGGGUUAGUAACGCGUGAGUAACCUGCCUUACACAAGGGGAUAGCCGUUGGAAACGACGAAUAAUACCCUAUGACAUAAACUCUUCGCAUGAGUAGCUUAUCAAAGAUUUAUCGGUGUAAGAUGGACUCGCGUCUGAUUAGCUAGUUGGUGAGGUAACGGCCUACCAAGGCGACGAUCAGUAGCCGGCUUGAGAGAGUGUACGGCCACAUUGGGACUGAGACACGGCCCAGACUCCUACGGGAGGCAGCAGCG
rnacentral:rRNA from 1 species